rnacentral:rRNA from 1 species
CCUACGGGCGGCAGCAGUGGGGGAUAUUGGACAAUGGGGGGAACCCUGAUCCAGCGACGCCGCGUGAGUGAAGAAGUAUUUCGGUAUGUAAAGCUCUGUCAGCAGGGAAGAAAGCAAUGACGGUACCUGACCAAGAAGCCCCGGCUAACUCCGUGCCAGCAGCCGCGUUAAUACGUAGGGGGCAAGCGUUAUCCGGAAUUACUGGGUGUAAAGGGAGAGUAGACGGCUGUGCAAGUCUGGAGUGAAAGGCGGGGGCCCAACCCCCGGACUGCUCUGGAAACUGUAUGGCUGGAGUGCAGGAGAGGUAAGCGGAAUUCCUAGUGUAGCGGUGAAAUGCGUAGAGAUUAGGAGGAACACCAGUGGCGAAGGCGGCUUACUGGACUGUAACUGACGUUGAGGCUCGAAAGCGUGGGGAGCAAACAGGAUUAGAUACCCUUGUAGUC